GAGGACUUCAUGCUCGCUUUGGCAAUACAUAUACUAAAACAGAAGAUUAACAUCUUCCCUGCACAAGGAUGACAUACAAAUUAAUGAAGCAUUCCAUAUUAAA